UCCCUUGUUUUAUUUUUAUACAUGCAUGUUAUUAAGGUCAGCUUUAUUAUUCUGAUAGUGUUAUAGAUGCAUGUUACUAAAGUUUAACUCUCUCUCUCUCAUGCUCUCUGUUUGUGUAUCUCUGUGUUUGUGUGGAGCUGGCGGGAAUGCAGUCAGGGCCAAUCACUAUGCCUCUGCAGCUUCAAAAAGCACUCUAAAGGAAGAACUUUGUUUAAUCUAAGGACAGAGAAAACUAUUGCUAAAGAGAGUUUUAUCCAUAAUGAUCUAGCUAAAGGAUCUCAGUCUAAUUGGAGUUCAGCCUGUUGAAUUAGGAAAUCUUGUGCAUUUGUGAAAAAUUUCAUCUGGUACUUUAUUCUCUAAAUUGUGAUAGUACUUGAUCUUCAAAGUAACAAGAUGCGCAAACUAUAUAGUUCUAUUAAAGACAUUAAUCCAAAAACUAGAAAUUGGAAGGUGAAGGUUGUUGUUGCUGAAAAGACAAUGGCACGUACAUCAAUGCAAAGCCCAACCAAAUAUAUGAGGCUCAUAUUAGCUGAUAGCCAAGGAAAUAAAGUACAGGCUGUUAUUUUUAAUCAACGUGAGAUUGACAUGUUUGACCAACUGUUACACAUAACAAGGACAUACUACAUUCAUAAUGCAAUCGUUAAACCAAUCAAACCAGAGCAUCGAAUUGUUGAUAAUGUUUAUCAAUGGACAAUCAAUCCAACUACGUUGAUUGAAGAAAUAUCAAAUGAUGACUCAUCACUUCCUGCACCUUCCUUUAACUUUGUUCCUUUUACCGAGCUCCAUAAACAUAUGGAUUAUUCUGCACUUGUCGGUUGAAACCAAUAAUUUUGACAAUGUGGGAUCAAUUUGUUACCAAUGAAUCAGUUGCCAUUGCACAAAUUAUCACUACUAGACCUGUUAUUAUGGUAAUCAGAUUAAAAGUUGUUUCGCACAAUGGUUUGUCUCUCUCAACAAGAUCAUCAAGUUCCUUCAUCAUUGAUCCACGCAUUCCUGAAGCAAUUGCAUUACAAACUUGUGAUCCAACUUUUGGAUAAAUGCAACAAUAUCCAUCACAAAGUUGGACCAACAUUUUUGGUACAUGGCAUGCAAUAAGUGUCACAAAGCCACUGGUGUAGACUAUAAUGAAGAAUUUUCAUGCUUAUAUUGCAAGGAAAAAGCUGUUGCAAAUCCACGAUGUCGACUUGAAGUUAAGUUGGAUGAUGCAACUGGACAUUUAAUGGCAACUCUAUUUGGAGAUGAAGCUGAAAAGUUUUUAUCAUGCUCAGCAAUUAAGCUAAUGAAGGAGACUACAGAGGAUGGAAUCAAAAAUAUUGAAAGCUUUGUCAAGCUCUCUGCUGAUAAGAACUUUCUCAUCCAACGGAGAGCAAUAAAGCUAGACACCCCUACAGAACCGCGCUAUAAGUUCAACAUCGUUGCCAUUCAUGAUCCGCCUCAAGAAAAUCCAUGAAAAUGAAGUUCAAAAAGAACUAUGUAAAGCAAAACAUCUCCUUUUGGAACUUUGUAAAAAAAAAAUAGGCACAUACAAAAGACAAAUAGAUACAUUAUUCAUAUAUAAUGUAUCACUUUGUCUUUUCAUAUAACAAAAUGAAAUCAUCAAAACAUUACCUCAUUUUUGUUACUCUAUUAUGUGCCUAUUAUUAGAAAUCAACAUUUUGGGUUUCUUUUUGCACAUCAUAUAUACUUAUCAUA